UUAAAUUGAAGAGUUUGAUCAUGGCUCAGAUUGAACGCUGGCGGCAGGCCUAACACAUGCAAGUCGAACGGUAACAGGAAGCGCUUGCUGCUUCGCUGACGAGUGGCGGACGGGUGAGUAAUGUCUGGGAAACUGCCUGAUGGAGGGGG
rnacentral:rRNA from 1 species